rnacentral:lncRNA from 1 species
AUUGUAUGUAUAUGUCAUCAAAGGAACGUGGUAGCGGUAGUAGUAAUCCCUGAUUAUUUAUCCAACUGGAGAUGUUUUUACAUGAUAAUGUCGUGAUCUUUAAAGUUAACAACAGGAAUGUUAAAUCCCUCAGACGGCCUUUGGUUAAAACCUGGCCAGCGCUUGCGAAUUGCGCUGCAAAACUCGGUACACUUGUUUAAAGCCUUUGGUUACUUCUGAAGUUAGUUCAUUUGUAGCACUUCAUAUUUUUAGAGUUUAUAGACUCGGUACACCCACUGUUCUAAAUUGAUUGAAGUUGCAGAUUUGUUCUAAGUCAAACUUGUUUAACUUUGACCAACUAUAUUAGAAAAAUAUCCUGA